AGCAAAUCAGUCUAGGAUUGCAAGAUUGCUGCAAAAGAGGUGACGGCCAAGGAGAGGCACAAGAUCUUCAACCUCAUGAAGUAUGACAGCUACAGCCGCUUCUUGAAGUCUGACUUGUUUUUAAAACACAAGCGAACCGAGGAAGAGGAAGAAGAUCCCCCUGAUGCCCAAACUGCAGCUAAAAGGGCUUCGAGAAUUUAUAACACAUGAGCCUCUGAAGAGCUGGCAGGACUGGCAGCUUUCAGAAGCGAAGAAACUCCCUCUCAGGACCACGCAGGGUUUAUAAUUGCUUUGUUAUCUGUAAGGACUGAAAUGUACAAAACCCUCCCGUGGGAUAUGUGUAUUUUAUUAACUGCUUGACCAGUGAGUUUUGCAUGAUGGCUAAUCUUACAUAAAAAAACAAAUAGCUUUGAA